rfam:Solanum lycopersicum cultivar Heinz 1706 chromosome 10, whole genome shotgun sequence.
GAACUACCCAUAAUUUGUUCCUUUAAAAUUGGAACAUACAGAGAAGAUUAGCAUGGCCCAUGCGCAAGGAUGACACGCACAAAUCGAGAAAUGGUCCAAAUUUUU